GGUGGUUUUCGGGUGACACACCUUGGAAUCUGGCUUCCUCCUCUCUGGUUCCGGGUGCAUCACCGGAGAACCACA
rfam:Myotis davidii contig122759, whole genome shotgun sequence.